GCGGUAGUACUCAAGUGGUUGAAGAGGACAGUUUGCUAAACUGCUAGGCGGUAAAAGCCGUGCAAAGGUUCAAAUCCUUUCUAUCGCG
rnacentral:tRNA from 1 species